rnacentral:lncRNA from 1 species
UUUUUUUUAUACAUAUAUAAUGUAAGAUAAUAAAUAUUUUAAUUUUUUGAUAAAUAAAUAUAAAAUUUUUUGGACAAUAUAAAUAAUUAUAUAUAACGGAUAAUUUUUUUAAAAAAAUAUAUGAACUAUUAAUCAGAAUUUUAUUAACUUUAAUAUGCAUGAGAAAUAUAACAAUAUUUUAACAAAAUUAAUAUUUUAUAUAUAAUAAAUAUAUAUUUUAUUAUAUUAAUAAUAUUUUAUUUUAUUAGUAGUAUCCAUAUCGUAUCCGUAUUCUAAUUUUUUGAAAGUUGUCGUGUUCAAAACAUGUCGUGCCCCAUAUUUUGUGUCGGUGUAUGUGACGUCUAGUGG